UGCGUAGGCGGUGUGUUAAGUUUGUCGUUAAAGACUCUAGCCUAACUGGAGGAUCGCGAUGAAAACUGGCACGCUAGAGGAUGAGAGAGAAAAGUGGAAUUCCUGGAGUAGCGGUAAAAUAGCGUGGAUCUCAGGAGGAACACCAAUGGCGAAGGCAGCUUUUUGGUCUCAUAUCUGACGCUGAGGCACGAAAGCUGGGGGAGCAAACA
rnacentral:rRNA from 1 species